CAGAGACAGAACUUGGGAAUGUUACCAGUAAAUAAACACGUGCAUAUUGUUUACAUUGAAAUCUGUGUUAACCUUUCAUUCGAGGUAGGAGUAGUUAAGAAAAUUAGUGUAAGUUUAAACUCUGAGAAGUUCAGGGCAUAUAAACGUUGAAAAUAUGCCGCACAGCCUUAUAUUUUGACCUUUGAAGAAAAUUGUGGUGCAUAUGAACUUUCAAUUCUAGGAUAAGAUUUUUUUCAAAACUUC
rnacentral:lncRNA from 1 species